AGUUAUUUAGCUUAACAAAAGCAUAUAUUUUGAAAAUAUAAGAUAGAAUAAAUUUAAUAACUU
rnacentral:tRNA from 1 species